rnacentral:rRNA from 1 species
ACGGAAGGUCCGGGCGUUAUCCGGAAUCAUUGGGUUUAAAGGGAGCGUAGGCCGCAUGUCAAGCGUGCUGUGAAAUCCCGGGGCUCAACCCCGGAAGCGCAGCGCGAACUGGCGUGCUUGAGUUGCAUCGAGGCAGGCGGAAUUCGUGGUGUAGCGGUGAAAUGCUUAGAUAUCACGAAGAACCCCGAUUGCGAAGGCAGCCUGCCAGUUGCACACUGACGCUGAUGCUCGAAGGCGCGGGUAUCGAACAG